rnacentral:sRNA from 1 species
UCAAUGGCCUAACGGCUGAACCAGCAAUUUGAACGAAUGUCCCGUUUUUAACAGGUUAAAAGACAAAAGCUAAUUACAGUUUUUGGCGGUUUACCCGCUUAAAGUUCUGAUAGGAUACUGAUAAUGACAAUAUUCUAUAUAAGUCUUGACUAAAUCACGUGCCAGCAGUCGCGGUAAUACGGGAAAGACGAGUGUUAUUCAUCUUUAUUAGGUUUAAAGGGUACCUAGACAGUAUAUUUUGCUAUGAUAAGAACAUUUAUGCUAGAGUUUUAUGUGAUAGGGAUUUAGUACUACCAGAGGAGAGAUAAAAUUUGGUGAUACUGUUGGGCACUUAUAACGGCGAAGGCAGACCUAUAUGUAAAAACUGACGUUGAGGGACGAAGGCUUGGGUAACAAACAGGAUUAGAUACCCUAAUAGUCCUGGCAGAAAAUGAUGAGUGCCAUAGGUUAGAUAAAUUUUGAUCUAUAAAUGAAAGUGUAAGCAUUCCACCUCAAGAGUAAUGUGGCAACGCAGGAACUGAAAUCAUUAGACCGUGUUUGAAACCAGUAGUGAAGUAUGUUAUUUAAUUCGAUGGUCCGCGAAAAACCUUACCACAGAUUGUAUAUUUUUAACUAACUAAAACAAAAUAGUUUUAUCUGGUAUCUUUAUAUAAAGAAAUGUUUUUUUUUACAGGUGCUGCAUGGCUGUCUUAAGUUAAUGUCGUGAGACUAUGGUUAGUUCCAUUUAAUUAACGUAAACCCUCUUCACACUUUAGGUGUGAUGGUUCUCCGGGAUAUCGGAAAGAUAAAA